rnacentral:lncRNA from 1 species
ACACAUAUAAUCUAAGGAUAGUAAGUUACCCGAUUUACUAGUAGUUAUGUCUUGAGCUAUAUUUUGAGCAAUUUGAUGAGGUUUUGGCUCAAAAUUUUAAGGAAUGUGUAUAUUCAUAUUAAUAAACUUUAUACAUAAGUUUGAUGAUAUUUUAGUAUUGGAUUCUUAAGAUAUUAAGAAAAUAAUGCUCAGGUGCUUGUAAAUUAGGGUUUAGAGCGUCUACUAGGAUUUCUUAGAUGCUAGAAGAUAGG